UGGGGAAUAUUGCACAAUGGGCGCAAGCCUGAUGCAGCCAUGCCGCGUGUAUGAAGAAGGCCUUCGGGUUGUAAAGUACUUUCAGUCGGGAGGAAGGUGUCAAGGUUAAUAACCUUGGCAAUUGACGUUACCGACAGAAGAAGCACCGGCUAACUCCGUGCCAGCAGCCGCGGUAAUCCGGAGGGUGCAAGCGUUAAUCGGAAUUACUGGGCGUAAAGCGCACGCAGGCGGUCUGUCAAGUCGGAUGUGAAAUCCCCGGGCUCAACCUGGGAACUGCAUUCGAGACUGGCAGGCUAUAGUCUUGUAGAGGGGGGUAGAAUUCCAGGUGUAGCGGUGAAAUGCGUAGAGAUCUGGAGGAAUACCGGUGGCGAAGGCGGCCCCCUGGGCAAAGACUGACGCUCAGGUGCGAAAGCGUGGGGAGCAAACAGG
rnacentral:rRNA from 1 species